CAAGGAUUUCUUAGGGUGAUAUCUUUUAAUUAUCUUUUCUUAUCACUCUAAUAAAUCCUUGCC
rnacentral:pre_miRNA from 1 species